UGAGGGAGUAUUGGGUCAAUGGACGAAAGUCUGAACCAGCCAUGCCGCGUGAAGGAAUAAGGCCCUAUGGGUCGUAAACUUCUUUUGUAUGUGAGCAAUAAGGUCCACGAGUGGUCCGAUGAGAGUAGCAUACGAAUAAGCAUCGGCUAACUCCGUGCCAGCAGCCGCGGUAAUACGGAGGAUGCAAGCGUUAUCCGGAUUUAUUGGGUUUAAAGGGUGCGUAGGCGGACCGUUAAGUCAGUGGUAAAAUUGAGAGGCUCAACCUCUUCCGGCCAUUGAAACUGGCGGACUUGAGUGAGCGAGAAGUAUGCGGAAUGCGUGGUGUAGCGGUGAAAUGCAUAGAUAUCACGCAGAACUCCGAUUGCGAAGGCAGCAUACCGGCGCUCAACUGACGCUGAGGCACGAAAGCGUGGGGA
rnacentral:rRNA from 1 species